UGACCAUGGAGAAAUCGUUCACUGACACUUUCCAUAAAAAUAUUCCCCAACCUCGCGUGAACUACGCGUAGAAAUGAAGCUACGAAUUUCAUUAGUUCUUCUCAUAUUCCUGAAAAAUUUCUUAUCUCCAGCAGUGCCAAUGUUUUUCUUUCUUUUGUGGCAUGAUCACUGUGCUCCUGUAACAAUUGAAAAAAAAGUUGUUUGUUUUUCCUCAAUAAAGUUUGUCAUUCACUCUGAAGAAGGCCUAAAGCUGGUAACGUCAGCUUUAGAGGCUCUUUAUGGUGGCCAGUUUACAUUAUUAACUCAGUCGAUAAAAACCAAAUCAUCUUUUAACUUCCCCCCACCAAAGCAGCAGCACAGUUUCCUUAGAAACUAACCCCGUUUGAUGAAUUUAGCAAGAGCUUGGGAGAAUAAUGUUUUGAAUAAUAGACGGCACAAAGCAGGUAAGAUAUCAUUUUACUCAAAGUAUAAUUUGGAGGAAAACUUUUAAAAUUCAGUUCCUCGGCAUUAACCCUCGUAUUCACUCCAAUGAUACUAGGAUCAACUGAAGACGAUUUAUGGGACAAGAGAAGAACGAAAAAUCGAUAAAAAAAGUGAUCUUGAGGAUUCAGAGUCAAGUGAAGAAGACUGAGGAUUGCAUUCACUCGUGCAAUUUACGUUAUAAACUUAGUUGAUAAUACUAAAUUACUCUGUUAUACUCUUCCACUGACGCAGCAUCUAAGUUUCUUUACAAAUUUACCCCCUUUAUUAAACAAACGAUUUUUUAUUUGGCGAAAGCCUGUAAGUUAUCAUAUUUGGACACUAAAAGAGCAUUUUUUUUUGGUAAAACGUUUGCACUUGCACUCUGGGGUUCAAUUUUUACCUACUUAUAUGCUGCAUGUGUUAUGGAUCAAUGGGGUGUAAUUUGUAUAAUACGUGCAUCGCAUAUUGUGAAUCAGUUUAGCAUGGAUAAAUGCUUUUCUCUGAAAGGGGCUUCAUUAUUUAAAUUUAGGCAUUUCUUGAAACUGGGAAGUUUUUCAACUAUGUAAAUAGUAAUGAAAAUUUGUUAUAGCCAUUGUCAAUUUUUCUGAGAGCGCUUGUUCACCAUUCGUGGAAAAAAACUCAGAAGUUUAACAUAUGUCCUUUUUCAAUUGUAACUAAACUCUAGACUCGCAAAGGUUGGAGGGUUGUUGAACUGAUAUCAACACAUUAAUCAACGGAAGUACGAUCCAAUAUGAUAUAUUCCACUAAUGUUCCAUAACGUCAAACUGAAAUACAAACAAGAGACUAAUUUAAGCGAUACGAAAUUAAUAAGGCCGUGAACAAUAGUCGCAUUACAAAAAAUACACGAACGCAAGAUAAAACUAACAACAAUCAAGGUACAACUUAGACGAAAUGAAACUAAAGGAAUACAAAGCCACUCUUACCGAUUGACUGGUCAGCGGUUGUCGCGAGCACAGCGUGAAUUUCUUAGCUCUGUUAACUUUACAGUCAAUUUUCUUUAUGAGUUUUCAAACUAAAAUGGAGGCGAUGCAUUAAACACCUCCCCCUUCAGUAAAACAUUUGAAAACAAAGUCAAAUUAAACAUCUUACAGUCUUACUGUU
rnacentral:lncRNA from 1 species